CUUCCCACUCGUCAAUAGAGAGAACGUUAUGCUCUUGAAUUGUGACCCUCUUUCCUUCGUUAAGAGAUCCUUUUUUCAACAAAGGCUAUGAACACUUCUAUGAUCCUGACACGGGCUAUCUGAAUUAUCGCCUGAAGAUGGUGUCAAGGAAGACCUCACGUCGAACCAUCAAGAAGAGUAUUUCACCCCAGUCGGGAGGCCCAACCCAUAGGAGGAAGACUGACCUGGACCACCAGCUUGUUGGUGACGCUUGCAAGGAGGCCAUAUCAUUCCUUGUCUACUCGGCCGAUGAAAAACAAAUCUAUCAGAAGAUGGAGGUGUUCCAGUAUCGCCAGGAGCUAGUUUAUAGUCCAGACAGAAGCACAGAUGUCCUCAGUCUUUCCCAGGUUUCUGGACAUCAAAGGAUUGGUGAAUCAGGACUUUUUGCUGAUGUUCGACGAUGAAACAUCCUCCAAGCUCCUUGAAAAGUGGGACACUGUAUUGAAGCCUAAAGUCAUCAAACUGGCUAAAUCCUUGACCACUACCACUGAUUUGCGUCACCUCCUGAAGUCUGCAGAAAAACUGCCAGAGAAUGACAGCGAAAACAUUAAGUGGAUUCUCUUGUGGAUAGUGCAAUGUUUCAAACUCAGCGAUAUUGUUUUAUGUGAUUUGGGGUGUUUGCCUUAUUUUGCCCUCAGACUGGGACAAUGAUAUGUCCUCGCUGCUGCUGCUGCUUCAUCUCCUCCCACCACCAGCAGGAGGGAAGAAGACCAAGAUCAGUGCCAGUGAUGCUGUGGGCAGACUAGUGCACUUUCAUAAGUCAUGCUGCAGCAUUGAAGACCAUCCUGAUGGGAGCCAUGGUCGACAGCCAUACCUCCUUGCCGUCGGAAGAAGACGGAGCAAGAUUGACAACUACUUCAUCGUGGUGGACAAGAGGCUUGUUCCCUGCCAGGAAACUAGUAGUCUGUGUGCGUUUCAUGAACUGUUCAAAGCCCACUUUGUCUUUAACCUGACGUAUGAUGAUGCUCUUGUCAAAGCGUGUCACAGAAACAGCCAGUCAUAUAUAUCUCAUUUGACAAUUGAGCGUAGAUUCUAUCCCUCCACCAAGUUUAGAUUGGUCUGUGCUCAAGAUAGUUGUAGAUGGCAGUUUUCAACAUACUCAGGUUUCAGAAAACAUUUGAAUAGUAUUCAUAAGGAUAUUGUUCAAGUAGUUGAUGCAUUGAGCUUAGAAGGGCCCUCUCAUGUUGCUGAUUUUUCCAGUCCCGUUAGAAGCUCCACAAAUAGGUGGCGACAUUGGUGUCCCACUUGAUAAUGCUCUAGGUGAUUGUUUUGAGAAAAAUUGACAGUCUUGCUAAAGAUAUGUGUGCCUCCAUCCUUGCCAAGUUGCAGGCUAGUGGUGUUCCAAAUAGUGUUGUGUCAACAGUAGUGUAUGAUUUAGAAGAGCUUACUACUGGUCUGCACUACUGGUAACCCCUCUACAUCUCCUGUAAAGGAUAGUUUUGAGAACUUUGAAAACCCAUUUGCCAGU